rnacentral:ncRNA from 1 species
ACACUGUUCUGUAUAUAUAUUCUGGGGAUUAAAGAAAACAGUAGGGGCUAUGAGCAUUCUGAUCAUUUUUUCCUUUCAGCCAAGAAAACAGAAGAGGAGCCCAGAAAGGCCUAUGUUUUUGGCGUGAAGUACUCAUCACAGGUACACUAGGUGUGAUCCAUUCCAAGCACAGCAUCAGGUGAUAAAUGUCCUGUCAGACUGAGUCAGGAGUCCUAAGGCAGGCUCAGGGAAAAAAGAAAACCUGGAGCAGAGGGCAAAAGCUGCUUUGAUAUUAAUUUUUAGAGUAAUAAAUACUGUGAAAACAGAUUCUUCUGAUCUUUGAGAUUUUUAAGCAAGAGCUGUCAGAGAAGUUAACAUAGAGAUAAAUGGCUUGAGGCAGCCAAGCAUUCAUAGAGACAUUGCUUUCUGAUUCUUCAAUAUUGGUUCCCCUCCCUCCCAUUAUUAUGAAGCAUCAAGAACUGGAUUGUUCCCCUACCAAGAGAGAAUGUGAGCUGGGUUUAAAUUAUCAUGAGACAAGCUGCUU